GACGAACGCUGGCGGCGUGGAUUAGGCAUGCAAGUCGAACGGUAUCAUCCUUUCGGGGGUGAGAGAGUGGCGAACUGGUGAGUAACACGUAGGUUAUCUACCCUCAAGACGGGGACAACCCAGGGAAACUUGGGCUAAUACCGGAUGUGAGCAACUUUUAGUUGUUUGAAAGGUGGCGUAAGCUGUCGCUUGGGGAUGAGCCUGCGUCCUAUUAGUUAGUUGGUGAGGUAACGGCUCACCUAGGCAAUGAUAGGUAGGCGGCCUUAACGGGUGGUCGCCCACACUGGGAUUGAGAUACGGCCCAGACUCCUACGGGAGGCAGCAGUCGAGAAUAGUCUACAAUGGUCGGAAGACUGAUAGUGCGACGCCGCGUGAACGAUGAAUCCCUUCGGGGUGUAAAGUUCUUUUAUAUGUGAGCAGUGCUUCUUAUAUUAACAGUAUGGGGAGAGAGAUAUUAGCAUAUGAAUAAGCAACGGCUAACUCCGUGCCAGCAGACGCGGU
rnacentral:rRNA from 1 species